ACGACCGUCUCACGUGCAUUUCCAAAAGAGAUACCAGACAGAGAGGAGUAGCUCUCCAUCUCUUUCUCUCUCUCACUAACUCCAACUGCCAACCAACCAAAACAAACCCAUUCCCACGGAAAUCCCCAGGCCCCACGUUCCGGCGGGUCGUCCCGCCAAUUCUCAUGACCCGAACCUACUCUCGGCAAACUCAACAAGACCCGACCCGAAACCCCUCUGGAACCACCGCCAUGCGCCUCAUUGUGCCACUCCAAGGCGUGGUGCAAGGCAGAGGCGGCCUUAUCUGGGGUUCUCUUAUCCCCUGCGCCCUCUUCUACUUCCUCCAGUUCUAUCUCAAACGACACCGUCCUCCGAGUACAUCCUCGAAUCCUCCGUCGCCGUCCCAGUCCUCCUCGAACCUUCCUGAACUCCAACGGUCGUCUUCGAGGUCAAACUUGUCCAGUCGUGGAUCCAUCGGCCGGGUCACGCUAUCUUCUCGGGGAACUUUCAUUGCAAAACCGAACGACUCGCCUUACUAUAUUGGAUUGGAUAAGGUUAGGGAGGAUCCAUAUGAUAGAUUGGGUAACCCUAAUGGUGUUAUUGAGCUUGGUUUGGCCGAGAACAAGUUGAGUUUUGAUCUGAUUGAUAAAUGGGUUUCUGGUAAUUUGACUAAUUCGAUAAUUGGAACCAAUGGUGGCGAUUUGAAUAUCAGCGGCAUUGCAGCAUACCAACCGUUCGAUGGAUUGACUGAACUGAAAGUGGCUAUUGCUGAUUUCAUGACUCGAGUCGUGGAAAGAACUAUCACAUUUGACCCAUCUCAAAUUGUGUUGACCGCUGGAGCAACCCCUGCUACUGAAAUUUUGAGCUUCUGCUUGGCAGACAAUGGAAACGCAUUUCUUGUUCCCACACCUUAUUAUCCUGGCUUUGAUAGAGAUGUUAGAUGGCGAGCUGGGGUUGAGCUAAUUCCUGUUCAUUGCCGUAGCACUGAUAACUUUACUUUGAAUAUCACUGUUCUUGAUCAAGCAUUCAAUCAGGCAAGAAAGCGAGGAGUAAAAGUGCGUGGAAUACUAAUUUCAAAUCCUGUUAAUCCCGUUGGCAAUGUACUGUCCCGGGAAACACUUUGUGGUAUUUUAGACUUUGCCCAGGAGAAGAACAUCCAUGUUAUCUCUGAUGAAAUAUUUGCUGGGUCCACGUAUGGAAAUGAGGAUUUUGUGAGCAUGGCAGAAGUUAUUGAGACAGAGAAUUUCGAAAAGAGCAGGGUUCACAUAAUAUACGGACUGUCGAAAGACCUAUCUAUUCCAGGCUUUAGAGUUGGUGUUAUUUAUUCUUACAACGAGAGUGUUUUGGCUGCUGCAAAAAAGUUAACAAGAUUUUCUUCAAUCUCUGCUCCUGCCCAGCGUCUUCUAGUAUCGAUGCUUUUAGAUACAAGAUUCCUGGAGGAAUACAUGAAGAUCAACAAAGAAAGGAUGCGUCAUAUGCACAACUUAUUUGUGGCAGGUUUGGAGCAAUUAGGAAUCAAGUGCGCAAAGAGUAGUGCUGGUUUCUACUGUUGGGCUGAUAUGAGUCGGUUAAUUCCAUCGUACAGUGAGAAAGGGGAACUUGAGUUAUGGGAUAAGCUGUUGAAUGUUUCUAAGAUCAAUGUAACUCCUGGGUCAGCUUGCCACUGCAUAGAGCCAGGCUGGUUUCGUUGUUGUUUUACUACUAUAGCUGAAGAUGAUAUUCCUGUAGUUAUGGACCGGAUCCGAAGAAUUACUGAAACUGAUUCUGUUUUCUCAUUUGGACAGCCUUUCUUCGGUAGCUCCUCCUCCGGCUCAUCAUUAUCAACUCCCCUAGUGUUUGUGGCCCCCUUACCAUGUGACUAUCGUUACUUUCAUGAUCAAACUUUUGAUUCCACACUUGUUGUGGUGUCACGGACUCCUCUGAUGGCCCAACCUUUCCAAGAAAUCCAGAAUUAGGUGGAAACAAUGGGAAGAGGCAUUCCAGGAAAGAAGCCCCCGCAAGGCUUGAAUUUCCAGUUGCAUAGCUGCUUGUACUGCUGUCUGUUUCUGAUGCUGGUGAAGAUGGGGAGUCUAGCAUAUCACUGUUGUUGUCUUCAGUUGAGGAAGUGUUGUGUGCUGGAACAGCGGUAGAAAUCGCGGCCGAUGACACCAGGCAGUUUGCUAGUAGAGAGGGAGCAGAACUAUAUGAAUUGUCUGUUCCCGAACCAUAUGUUUCAAGAUCCAAUUUAAACAGACUUUGAUUUUCAUAUUCUCCAUCAUUGGAAUCACCACUGCUGUAAUAUUCGAUAUUUUCAUCAGUUUCAACAUCCUUGGAGCAGUAACCAUGUGUUGGUGGUAAUGGAAAAAGUGCAGUUAGUGAUUCUUGUGGUGGCUGUGAAAAAGAAGGUAGUGGUGUCCCAGGCUUUUCUUCCCACUCAAAAGGAACCGAGGCAAUGAGCUUGAGUGGAGGAGUUGAAACCGAAGUACGUGAAGGAGCCUCUGGUUUCCAGUCCUUUUUAGGCAUCCCUGGCCUUACUUCCCAUAGAAAUGGAACUGAAGGUGGUUGCCUCUCCUUCUUUCUUGAGGGACUCAUCGAUGUUAUUCAUGCUAAACAACAGAGUUUCCUACUCGACCAGUGAUAUAUGCUUAGCCGACCAGGGAAGUUGUAUCUCCUCUCCCGACCAAGAAAACUUUGCACCUGAUCAGCUAAACCUUGUACUUGGCUAAUAGUUUGCUCUUUAUUCUUGUGAAGACAAUUGUUGCUUAGCAGCUUUAAUAUUUUUCUCGUACAGCCGAGCUGUUGGCAUUUAUACUUUACUUUUCUUUGCUAACUUAAAACAUUCUAAGUCUUUUUAGACUUAAAAAGUUAUAAGUUUUUUGUGAAUAGUAAAGUCACUCUGAUGUAUGCCU